GGCAGGUCGUGCAGAGGUUAAUGGUAAUGACACUCAAGUUUUCAUCAAUGAUCGUAGUGUAACAAGUGAGGUAACGAGUGCUUGUUGUCAUAAAUUUAAAAUAGAACUCAGAUCAGCACAAAAAAUUAUUGAACUGCUACAAGAAGAGAUAAACGCGCCCAGUCGUACCCACCAGAAGAGAUAGUGUCCAACAUCAGGACUGAGCCUGAUAACAGCGAACUGGAGCUACAGAUAGCCCUCAAGAAAGCAUGGAGACUGAAGCUGCAGGAAGCUGUUACAGAAUCAAAGAACAGUGUAGAAAAGGUGGCAGAGUCAGUACUGGAGAGAAACUCAGAAGGAAACACGGAAGGUGGUUCCAUUGUGCUGAAUGCUACAGCAGAAUUCUGCCGUACGUUGGGUGAUGUCCCCAUUUAUGGUCUGACUGGCAACAGAUGACGACGCUCAGGAACUACUUGACUUUGAGAGGGAAAUGAUUGAAGAGAAGAAACGUCAGGAAGAAGGCAAAUGUGGAGCUUGGAAUGAAGUUGAGAUUGGUGAGUCAUUAGCAGAUUCUUUAUGUACAACAUAGGCCUUUCAUAUUAAGAGAUAUUGACACGAUAGUAUUGGUUUUAAUUGUGCGUUUAUAUUUUAAGUAAUUCAUAAAUGGUGUACCGUAUUUAAUCAUAUACUGCAGUUUUGUUAGGAGUUUUAGUAGAAACACAUUAAUCAUUACUGUUUAAUGUAAGUAGCAGUAGGGUAGUUGGUUGAGGCACUAUGCUACAAGUUGG